rnacentral:misc_RNA from 1 species
UCCCCGUUAUCCGAGGCGGUUUCGCUAGAGUGCCCGACAUUACUCGCUGGCAACUAACGAUAAGGGUUGCGCUCGUUGCGGGACUUAACCCAACACCUCACGGCACGAGCUGACGACAGCCGUGCAGCACCUGCACAGGCUCCCUUGCGGGUCCCUCAGCUUUCGCUUCGGUACCACCUGCACGUCAAGUCCGGGUAAAGUUCUUCGCGUUGCAUCGAAUUAAACCACACGCUCCGCUGCUUGUGCGGGCCCCCGUCAAUUCCUUUGAGUUUUAGCCUUGCGGCCGUACUCCCCAGGCGGGGCACUUAAUGCGUUAGCUGCGGCGCCGAGGGGGUCGAUACCCCCGACACCUAGUCGACAUCGUUUACGGCGUGGACUAC